CUGUAAAUGAUGAUCUUAAUUACUCGGAUUCUCCUUCAAGAGAUCUAGAUGGGUGAUGCACAUACGAGUUUCUAAUGCG
rnacentral:snoRNA from 1 species